CGAAAUUCCUUGUCGGGUAAGUUCCGACCUGCACGAAUGGCGUAACGAUGGCGGCGCUGUCUCCACCCGAGACUCAGUGAAAUUGAAAUCGCUGUGAAGAUGCAGUGUAUCCGCGGCUAGACGGAAAGACCCCGUGAACCUUUACUAUAGCUUUGCACUGGACUUUGAAUUUGCUUGUGUAGGAUAGGUGGGAGGCUUUGAAGUGGGGACGCCAGUUCUCAUGGAGCCAUCCUUGAAAUACCACCCUGGCAACUUUGAGGUUCUAACUCAGGUCCGUUAUCCGGAUCGAGGACAGUGUAUGGUGGGUAGUUUGACUGGGGCGGUCUCCUCCCAAAGAGUAACGGAGGAGUACGAAGGUGCGCUCAGACCGGUCGGAAAUCGGUCGUAGAGUAUAAAGGCAAAAGCGCGCUUGACUGCGAGACAAACACGUCGAGCAGGUACGAAAGUAGGUCUUAGUGAUCCGGUGGUUCUGUAUGGAAGGGCCAUCGCUCAACGGAUAAAAGGUACUCCGGGGAUAACAGGCUGAUACCGCCCAAGAGUUCAUAUCGACGGCGGUGUUUGGCACCUCGAUGUCGGCUCAUCACAUCCUGGGGCUGAAGCCCAAGGGUAUGGCUGUUCGCCAUUUAAAGUGGUACGCGAGCUGGGUUUAGAACGUCGUGAGACAGUUCGGUCCCUAUCUGCCGUGGACGUUUGAGAUUUGAGAGGGGCUGCUCCUAGUACGAGAGGACCGGAGUGGACGAACCUCUGGUGUUCCGGUUGUCACGCCAGUGGCAUUGCCGGGUAGCUAUGUUCGGAAGAGAUAACCGCUGAAAGCAUCUAAGCGGGAAACUUGCCUCAAGAUGAGAUCUCACUGGGAUCUUGAAUCCCCUAAAGGGCCGUCGAA
rnacentral:rRNA from 1 species